rnacentral:rRNA from 1 species
UACAGAGACUGCAAGCGUUAUUCGGAUUCACUGGGCGUAAAGGGUGCGCAGGUGGCCGGUGUGUGUGAGGCGGUGAAAGCCCGGGGCUUAACCCCGGAAUUGCAGCCUCCAAACUACAUGGCAUAGAGCAUUGGGAGAGGGUAGCGGAAUCACGGUGUAGCAGUGAAAUGCGUAGAUAUCGUGAGGAACACCAGAGGCGAAGGCGGCUACCUGGACAAUUGCUGACACUCAGGCACGAAAGCGUGGGGAGCAAAAGGG